GCACUGCUGAUGAGUCCCAAAUAGGACGAAGCAGCUGUCCAAUGC
rfam:Echinostoma caproni strain Egypt genome assembly, scaffold: ECPE_scaffold0001866